AUGGGUUUGCUGAGUCAACUCUUCUGCCUUCUAUUUUGGCUCCCAGCUGCCACCGGAAGCACUGUGUUGAGCCAGUCCCCGGCCCUCCUCUCUGUGUCUCUAAGAGAGAGUGUCUCCAUGACUUGCAAGGCCAAUCAGAGUAUUAGUGAUUACCUGACCUGGUACCAGCAGAAACCAGGUCAGGCUCCUAAACUUCUCAUCUACGAUGCUGAUGACCCAUAUACUGAUGUCCCUGCUAGGUUCACUGAAAUUCAGUCUGGAACAGAAUUCAUUCUCAAAAUCAGUGAGGUGGAGGCUGAUGAUGCCGCCACUUACUACUGUCAGCAGGAUUAUUUAGUUCCUCCCACAGUGUUACAGUCCUGAACACAUACUAUCCUCCCAGGCUGCUUGUAUGGUGACCGCAGGUGGGUCCAGCAGCUGCAAUCUGUCCUAUAGUCUGUUCACAUGUGAUGGUCUGUUUUUGGGGAAGGUUCCACAGGGCUCAUGGGCAAAGGCCUGCAAGAAACUUGAGUACUUCAAAAGCUUCCUUUCUUGAUGA